ensembl:lncRNA
AUGACAUCACCUCAUUUAUCCUCAAUUUCCCGCGAAAGACCUACGCAGCGAUUAAAGAGCAGAGCAACCACAUCUUUGUCUUUUUUUGCUGUCCGAGACAUUAAACCAGGAGAAGAGAUUACUUACAGCUAUGGAGACUGGGAUUGGCAAGCCAAGCGUUCAUCACCUGCCCCUGUUACUGCUACAUCAUCCUCAUCCUCACCUGUGAGGAAAAGUUCAUCACCUGCCCCUGUUACUGCUACAUCAUUCUCAUCCUCAUCUGUGAGGAAAAGUUCAUCACCUGCCCCUGUUACUGCUACAUCAUUCUCAUCCUCACCUGUGAGGAAAAGUUCAUCACCUGCCCCUGUUACUGCUACAUCAUCCUCAUCCUCACCUGUGAGGCAGCGUUCAUCAUCUGCCCCUGUGACUGCUACAUCAUCCUCAUCCUCACCUGUGAGGAAACGUUCAUCACCUGCCCCUGUGACUGCUACAUCAUCCUCAUCCUCACCUGUGAGGAAACGUUCAUCACCUGCCCCUGUGACUGCUACAUCAUCCUCAUCCUCACCUGUGAGGAAACGUUCAUCACCUGCCCCUGUGACUGCUACAUCAUCCUCAUCCUCACCUGUGAGGCAGCGUUCAUCACCUGCCCCUGUGACUGCUACAUCAUCCUCAUCCUCACCUGUGAGGCAGUUCAUCACCUGCUCCUGUGACUGCUACAUCAUCCUCAUCCUCACCUGUGAGGAAAAGUUCAUCACCUGCCCCUGUGACUGCUACAUCAUCCUCAUCCUCACCUGUGAGGCAGCGUUCAUCAAGAAAAAGACAGCAGGAGAGGUUUCAGUCAAGAUUGGUCAAACUACGGGAACAUCAUAA